rnacentral:lncRNA from 1 species
UACUCGACGGGCCUCACGCUAACAACCACUUAACUCUGUGGCGCAUCUCGCGCACAUACGCGCUUUUCGUGUCCGCGGUGUGUAAAUCAUGCCGCGUUAGUCCCAGCGUUCGGAAUUAUUAUUUCCAAUCAUACACCGACUUAUCUCCUGGUGGCUCCGAUUAUUUUCGUUGAUACGGGGUCGCUCAUCAAGUAAAAGCCGCUCUGGGACGGGCCUGCGUCUACGUCAGAGGUAUAUUACGGGGUUUUGAGGUUAAAUAUUACAUGGAUUGUUAUGGGGUCAUUUGGGACCGCGCUAAGUAACGUUUUGACGUUAUUGUUUACUAUUCUCAAAUUUUUCUGCAAAUUAUACAAAAUUUUAACCACUUAAUUUGCCAUUUAAUUUUUAAUCAAUAUUGACCUUUGCCAUUUAAUUUUUUAAUCAAUAUUGGCCUUUGCCAUUUGAUUUUUCUUUCAUUAUUGGCCCCUCCUACUUGGAGUUAGGGGUCGGAGGACAGGCCAGGGGCGGACUGGGUGGAAAAGGCCCUUACGGGUGGCAACCACCACCCCGCCACCCCGGCCAGUCCGGCACCUUCGGGGGAGUGUUAAAUAUUUUUUGGGCGGAUUAGACCUAUGUUACAGGUACUUUACGGAAAGGAAGGGAUUUAAGGGAUGCAACUAAGACCCGAUUUUUACCUUAAUUUGUUUUAUGAACGGUCGUAUAUAGGCAAUUGAAUGACUUGUUACAGGAGACGGCGCAGUGCACUAUCUCGAGUGGGUUGUCAAUGGAGCUAUCUUAUCAACCUGAUAAGAUCAGCUUCUGUUUGAUAAAGUACUCUGAAUGAGUUGUCCGUUUCAUUAAGUGUGUCUUGUUUCUGUCCCGACUCGAACUAUUUCUUUUUCGAUUCUUUACCAGUUUCAUUGUCAGCCGAGUGAAAUUCAACUAGCGGAGCUGCGAUGAGCACAUUGGAAACCGAACCGGCGGCGCCAGGUGUACGAACCGAGAGCGAAAAUUGCAGCGUUCAACACUUGUUUAGCAGAGUCAAACUUGCAAAAAAAGCCCGAAAUCGAUUAGUUCCGAAGAG